rnacentral:lncRNA from 1 species
UGCCAUACAUCACGCAGAGAGCAGGAUACCUGCCCUGCCUUGUGCCAAGCAGCCAUCAGACCUCCACGGAUCCCUUCAGGCAGCAGAAACAAGGGCAUCAGCAGCUGCCCCCAGGACUUUCACAGGCUGUCAGUAGUGUAGAGUAGUUCGAAAAUCUUUGGAACACAGUGGAUGUUGAUGCUGGUGGACGUCUGAAAUAUCAGGACUUUUUGAGAAAGUUCAGCUCAGAACUCGUAACGAUGCCAUCAAGCACUCCCAGCGUUACUAGUCUUGCAACUUCUACCAAGCUAGUUACCCGUGCCAUGCAGGAACCACAAGUGUCUUCUCAGCCUGAGCGUCCCAACACAUUAUCUUCUCUAGUAGGGCAAAAGAGUACACCAGCAUCCAGCUAUCCUCAGACAGCAACGGCAUGUUCUACACCUGUCCUUAAUUGUGAAACAAUAGAAAAUAAGAUAAGAAAGGAUAUCCAACGUUCCUGGAGAAGCAUAAUGAAACUGCAAAGAGAAGGAUGUCGGCAAGCUAGGAGAAAUCCCAGUGUCAGACUUCCUCGGUUUGUUACCAUCUGAAAAGUGCUCUAUUCAUUCUCAGAUGUGUUCUGUUUUCCUUCUGAUGUCCUGGCCAUUGGCCACUUUAAUCAGAAAGCAUCCACUGUGUGAUUGCUCCAGGUACCACCCUGCUACUGCAGAGCAGAACAGCUUACUGUACACUUGGGUGCAAUAAGUUCAUGUUCCUCUUCAGAAUUAUCUACUGUUUAGAAAAAGAGGACCUGGCUAUUCUUGUUGAUACUUUUGGUUUGCAUACAAGCUGUCUCAUCGCCUUCCCAGUACACUACCCUUAGCAUGCCUAGUGAUAACUGAACAGCUUCACCAAUCUUUUACUGUGAUCUUCUAUGUGCUUCUGGCUGCUCUGGUCUUGAUGGGUGAAUGCCUGCUGAUUUCAAAGGAUCUUGGAUUUUACUCUUGGACAAGAUGAGCUAUGCUGCUCUUCUGUUGUGUUCUCUUCUACACAGAAUUCUCAGUGUUUUUCUUAGGACAUUUGCAUGUGUGAUAAGACAACGUGCACCUGUGUAAUUACAUAUAAACUCCUCGGUAUAAGAACAUGUUAGCUUAUCAGAACAUUUAUUACAGUUAGCACGAAGGCAUACUUCUUGUGCAUUUAAAACCAAAGUACCGUGAUAUUAGUACCCUGAAGCCCUGUUAAAUGUGAACUGCCACCUCUAUAAGUUUAGGCAUGUGUAUAUACCUGCAUCUAGCAAUAGCUGCAUAAUACAUUUAUGGAGCAGUCACUGCAACUGAGCUUGUCAACAUUAUUCCUGUUAAAACUGGUGUACAGUACAAUGAUUGUCUAUUUUUAUGAAUGACAAAAUGAAUAUUCUUUCUGCAUUUCUGUAUUAUUUCAGAUAUAGCAGAGAUGUUCCACUGGCGUUUAAGUAAAGAGGAAAUUAACCAAAUAACAACAAAAUAUGACUUCAAGAAGAAUGGAAAAUUUGCAUACCGUGACUUCCUUCAGAGUUGUAUCUUGUUAAAACCACAGAAAAGCUCACUGCUACAAAGGGUGAUUAUACAGAAGCCACAAAAACCAGUACAAACAAAGCAUAUAAAAAUCAAAAUUACAUUUUUUUUUUCAAUUUCUUCUGUAGUGACAUAGUAUUCUAGCAUUCUCUUAUGUAAUCCUCUUAUAUUAAUUGUUAGUAUUCAUUUGGUAUCUCCUUCAGUUGGAAGAUUUAACUCCUUGUGAUCAUGCUCCCUUGUACCCAAGUUGUAUGGUAAAUUGGUUAAAUUUGCUAAAAUGUGGAUAAUAAUUACUAGUGGAAAACCUUUAAGAGCUUUUGCUGAACUAAAUAAAAAUCAAGUUAGAAAUAAAAUGCA